rnacentral:rRNA from 1 species
AUGGAGCGCAUGGCUACUUACUACUUCAAGGAAGUCUUUACGAAGGAUCCAACCUUAUCACCGGAGGUUGUGCUGGAUGGAAUCUUGCCAAAGGUAACUGUACAUAUGAAUGAUAUGCUAUGUGUGCCCUUCUUGGAAGAAGAAGUAGUUUCGAAUGCACUUUUUCAGAUUGGGCCGUUGAAAGCACCGGGCACGGAUGGCUUCCCGGCCAGGUUUUACCAACGUAAUUGGUCUACACUGAAGGCUGAGAUUAUUGCGGCGGUUUUGGAGUUUUUCACUUCGGGGUUAAUGCCGGAUGGUGUGAAUGACACGGCUAUUGUCCUUAUUCCAAAAAUUCCACAUCCAAGAGAGUUGAAAGAUUUUAGGCCAAUCAGCUUGUGUAAUGUUAUUUAUAAAAUUGUUUCCAAGUGCCUGGUCAAUCGUUUACGGCCUUUGCUGUCGGAGCUGAUCUCAGAAAAUCAGAGUGCCUUCAUACCCGGACGGCUUAUAUCGGAUAACUUUAUCAUUACGUUUGAAUGUAUCCACCACAUACAGUCAAUGAAGCAGAACGGCCAGCCGGCGUGUGCCUACAAGCUUGAUUUAUCGAAGGCCUAUGAUCGUGUUGAUUGGGACUUUUUGGAGCAGGCUCUUGGUAGAUGGGGCUUCUCUAGCCAGUGGAUUGCUUGGAUAAUGACUUGUGUCCGUUCAGUCAAAUAUUCAGUGAAGUUUAAUGGGAAAUUACUCCAGGCGUUUACACCUUCGCGAGGUCUACGCCAAGGUGAUCCAUUAUCCCCCUUCUUGUUUCUCUUUGUUGCUGAUGCUCUGUCUGCCCUUAUUUCCAAGUCAGUAAAUGAUGGUAAUCUGAAGGGGGUAUCUAUCUGUCGUGGGGCACCGGUUAUAUCUCACCUUCUUUUUGCGGAUGAUACUAUGUUGUUGUUUCAAGCUUCUGGCCAGCAAGCGCACAUUGUCAAAGGUUUGUUGAAUACUUAUGCUUCGGCGACGGAUCAACUUAUCAACCCCGAAAAGUGUUCCAUCCUUUUCUCUGAUAAUUGCAGUGAGUCAGUGGCAGUUGAGGUUAAGAGUAUUUUGGAGGUUACACAACAAGUGUUUGAACCCAAAUACUUGGGCCUGCCGGUUCCGGAAGGUAGAGUUCAUAAAGGGCAAUUUGAGACCCUUCAGGAAAGGUUAAGGAAGAGGCUUGUUGAUUGGAGUGAACAAUAUGUAUCUUCAGGGAACAAAGAAAUUUGGAUAAAGGCUGUGGCGCAGGCAAUCCCCACCUAUGUUAUGAGUGUGUUUCCUCUGCCGGCAUCAGUGUGUGACGAUCUAACAAAAAUGAUGAGGCAGUAUUGGUCGGGGGUGGAGAAUGGAAAGAGGAAGAUGGCUUGGCUCAGCUGGGAGAGGAUGAUGCUCCCCAAGUCUAUGGGGGGUAUGGGGUUUAGAGACAUGCGUGCUUUCAACCAGGCUUUGUUGGCAAAGCAAGCCUGGCGUCUUUUGGAUAGCCCGGACAGUCUGUGUGCGCGGCUUCUGAGGGCUAAAUAUUAUCCACGGGGAAAUUUAUUGGACACUAUUUUUUCCACGAACUCGUCUGCGGUCUGGAAAGGGAUUGUUCAUGGCUUGGAGCUUCUG